rnacentral:lncRNA from 1 species
UGGUGUUGUGGUUUUUGACGAGCUUCGAUUUCUUGGUCAUCCAGUCGGGUUCCAGACGUCUUUGAUCGCGAAUCAGGUGUGAGAUUCGAACCUUAUCUAAUUUAUUUACGAGUUGUUGUUUCGGCAAUUCUUGUGUGUGCUCUAAACCGUUGAUUUUGGGUAUUUAGUUGUUAAGAAAGUAUGGGAAAUACUGCGUAUUCCAAUAUAUUUU